rnacentral:rRNA from 1 species
UACGUAGGGUGCAAGCGUUAAUCGGAAUUACUGGGCGUAAAGCGUGCGCAGGCGGUGAUGUAAGACAGGUGUGAAGUCCCCGGGCUUAACCUGGGAACUGCAUUUGUGACUGCAUCGCUGGAGUGCGGCAGAGGGGGAUGGAAUUCCGCGUGUAGCAGUGAAAUGCGUAGAUAUUGGGGGGAACACCGGUGGCGAAGGCGGCCCUCUGGACCGAAACUGACACUGAAGCGCGAAAGCUAGGGGAGCAAACGGG